rnacentral:lncRNA from 1 species
UUUUGUUUGAAGUCUUGAUAAUUAAUAAAUCUCAUGUAAAAUCUUUUUAAUUCUAGAAUUCUCCAAAUGCAUUGAAUCAUCGAGAGAAUAAGGUAUGGAUUAUGUUCAUUAUGAAGGAAGAUUAGCAAUGCAUAAAUCCUUCAAGUGAAGCUCAGUGGAGUGGAGAUUCACAUAGGUAUGCAAUGUUUAUCUGUUGUUUUUACUACCAAAUGCCAUCUUAUCUUCAAUAGAAUCGUGGUACUGUAGUCGAUUGCUUUCGUAGAAUUUCUGAUUCACAUAUCUACAGAUUACAGUAGCUGAUGACGAUAUUCUCUGGUCAAUUUUCUAUUAUCUGUUUUUUUCUUGGCAUUUACUUGAAUUUUUUUAGUUAGAUAUCAUUUUAUGCUGCUAUUUUCAGUUAGUUUCGGAGUUGAUUUAAGUUCUUUGCUGAAAGAGUGCAUGAUUGUUUUACUGUCAUUUACUUAAUAUUAUGGUGGAAAUUGUUGAAAUUUGUAUCAUUUGAUCCUUUAGAACCUGAUCUUAUUGCUUCUUCUAAGUUUAGCUCUUAGUUUGGUUUCACUUCAUGGAAGAAAGACCCACAUUAACAAUCUGGAGUCAAUAAAAAUCUAUGUUAUGUGUUUUCAGAUUCAUUCCCAAAAGCCAAAGUGUGUGAUUGAUCUAAUUUGCGGAUAGUGCUGUUUUCUGUCAUGUGAUCUUUAUAAAUAUGAAUCACUAUCAGUUUGUGGUCUAUUGAUCAGUAUUUUUGGCUGUGCAUAGCACCAAUUCUUGUGGUAUCUUACCCGGUUCAUAUUCCAUGAACUAGUAUCGCGAGGUUCAAUUUUCCUGUCAGAACAUGAAUAAUAACUUUUUUGACUUUAUUGCGCAUGGUGGUGUUAACGAAAUUGCAUUUCUAUCGAGAAAUAGUAACUGUUAUCUACUUUUUCUGGAUAGAUGUUAUACUUUAUCAGAAGUUGAUGGAGGGAAAUGUACUGAAUUUCUGCUAUUUUCUGUAUGUACAAGCAAGAAAGUAGUCUUGGAUCUUGGAUGAAAGUUGUCUGUGCAAGAACAGGAACAUUGCAUUAGUCCAGGAUGCAAAAGAACAUGGCCAAAAGAGGUAAUCAGUAUCAGCAAUCAGGAAGCUGCCAAACUAAUCAGGUUGAGAAAAACUGGUUAAAGGUGAAACUUAAGGCCUAUGUUAGCCAAAUAUGGAGUUGUUCAUCUAAAAGUCAAAGAUUAUGCCAGAAACACAAGAAUUCAGUUUUUUGGCGCUACAGUUUUGACUUGCCUCUAGAGAUCAUAUCGGGUUAGGGCUUAGAUUAUAACUGGAUUGAAUGCUUAUGCUUCAUUUGGGAUGGGUGUGUAACAAAAAAAAGCAUGAAACACCUGAGGAGGCUAAUCGGUGAAUGGGAUAUGAUCUCCUCUGCCCUUCUGCUAUAGAGAGGAAAUUCAAAAAGCCGAUUUUUUUCAGGCCCCCUUGUGCAAUUGAUGUGGAAAGCUACUCCCUCUCCUUUUCAUUCCUAAUCAACUGAGUGCAAUGGGAGGCUGCGACUAUCACAUUAGCAAUCUUGAUUGGCAGCCCUCCCAAUCGCAAUCUUCAUUUUUUGAUCAAUCUGAAUUAGGUGAUCGUUAUGCACAUGACUACAUAUUUACAUACAUGAAUUUAUACACACAAAUACAAAAAGAGAAACAGCAAAGCCGCAUAUUUGUCAAUCAUUCACCUAUCCUAUUAGUCCAAGAACUUGCUAGGACUUUCUCUACUUCAGGAUUUUAGGAGUGUUUUUGAAGGAUAUGUGGCGAAAAUGUUAAGCCAAACUUGAAAAAAGGUCUUUGAAGUAAGAAGGAUCAUACACACAUCCUCUUCUGGUGAUCAAUUACACCUUUCAGUAUAUGACUUGGUUAUGGUGAGUCAGUCGACGCACGUGGUUUUGUUAGUCUGCUUAUGCAUCAAACGUCCAUCUUAGAGAUGGAUGUCAAAAAAUGGUUCCUCCACAAGAAGGAAAAAUCGAUGGUAAAAAACAUAUAUUCUAAAAACACUAAGUUUAUUUUUUUGGGGAAAAUUUUCCAGAUUCAUGAUCAUCAUCAUGAUUGAGAUUAGCAAAUCCUAAAAUUUUGGAUUCAAAAUCUAUCUUUAAGAUGGACUUUGGAGGGGGGACACACAUAUAUAGGUGAGUCGGCUAACUCACUGAAUAUCACAUAUAGUACAGACCUUGGGAAGAGGUGUAAUCUUGGCAUCCACUACCACUCUCACCUUUUGCACUCAUGUAUGUGGCUCCCUUUUAUAUCCAUCUCUCUCAUGGUUUGGCUGUACAAAUCUUCAAAUGGCCCCCAUGUAGCUCACAUAUUCUCUGUUUCUCACAGCAGGUAGUGCGUCUUCUCUCUCUCUACACACACACACGCACGCAUGCACACGCACAUACACACCAAGGAAAACAGGAUUUUGUUCCAAAUGAGAUUACUACAUCAUUCACAAGGCUGCAAUCCAGUUCCUCAAGCUUACAUUCCAAUUCCAUGGCAUUCUUUUGCAAUUGCUCUUUAUAUUUCUUUGAAGCAUUUGUCAGUCCAAAUAUUAUCUAAGCUCUUCUUCUCGAGUCCUACUUCAGAGGCCACCAGAUUGUUGCACUUGUAAUGAAUCACAUCAUCAGAAUACAGAUGAUCAAUUUACAAUGCUUGUGGGGCUUGGCUCAAUGCCUAUUAGGCCCUUGCUUAUUAUCCACCCUUAAGGACUCGGAAGGAGCACCAGAGAAUCAGAGAUUGGAGCGGUGUCUUGAAGCAAAGUGAGUGGUAGAAUUGAAGGAAUUGAGCUAGAAAAAAUAAAAGCACCUGAUAAUUAUUGGAAGAGAUAAGCUAGGUUCAAAACAGUCUUAAGCACAUAUUUAUUGGGCACUCGAGUGAUAGAUAUUUUGUAACGAUGCAACUAAAUAAAUUAUGGAGUACAGAAGCUCAUUUCUUUGUAGACAUUGAAAUAUUUAUUGGGUACUCGAGUGAUUCUAAAGAUAAAUAUUUUAUAAUGAUUGAACAAAAUAAAUUAGAGUACAAAAGCUCACUUCUUGUUAGACAUUGAAAUACCAAAACUCAAGCAUGCUAGAACUUAAAACAAAAAAAUUGAGCAUAAGAAAUCACAAAAUCUUAGCGUAAUUCAUGUUGGAAAGUCUCCUAAAGUUGAUUUAGAUUCUAAAUUUUAUUAGUGUAGAAGAAGUUCUAGGGAUUAUGUCUAUUAUAAUGAAUUAAUUAAAGCAUCCUAUAAAUUUGAGGAAGCUUUUAGCUCACAUGAAGCAAGUAAUUGGAUGGAAGCUAUGAGGAUUGAAUAUGAGUGCGAACUACCAACAAUACAUUGUUCUUAAUGGGUUUUCCCCUGUGUAGAAAGAUGGUUGGUUGCAAAUGGGUGUACUCUAAGAGACUUAAUUAUGAAGGAAGCAUCUAUGGGUCUAAAGCUAGGUUGGUGGUUGACUUUAAAAAAGCAUAUUCACCAGUAGCUAGGAAAUUUUUGAUAAGAAUUAUACUAGCAAUAGCUAAUUAUUAUGUUUUUGAAGUUUAUCAAGUGGAUGUAAAGGCCGCCUUUCUAAAUGCAAAGUUGGAAGAAAACUCCUCAUGACCAACCUAAAGGUUUUUAACAUUAGGAUCAAGAAACUAAUGUAUGUAGAUUAGUUAAAUCACUAUUUGAUUUAAUGCAAUAUUUAAUAUAAUGGUAUUUAAUGUUUACAUGCUCUUAAAGAACAUGGAUUUAAAAAUAUUACUGCAGAUGUUGUGUCAUCAUCAUCAUAGCCUUUUUCUAACUAUUUAGGGUUGGCUACACGAAUCAUGAUUCGCCAUUUUGCUCUAUCAAGGGCCAUACCUUCAGUGAGAAUAUCUCACCGAAAUAAGCAAUAGGGUGUCCCUCUUGAUUGAGAAUAAAUGUGAGAGGCAUCAUAGUUGACCUAAAAAACCUUGUCUAAUAUGGUAAUGUGAGCGCCGAGCUUGUGUCAUCUGUUUAAUAUGGUAAUGUGAGUGUCGUAGCAUGUGUCAUCUUCUCCUUUAUAACUUGGAAACUUUGAUAUGCUUCCUACAUCCAUUUGAAGCUUCCUUUCUGGAUGCAAUCAAUAAUGCUAGCAAUGAUCUUCUUGAAUUUCUAUAUAAGUCUUCGAAAGACCAUGAAAGCCAUGGACAUCUCCAAUAUUCUUAGGUGUUGGCCGGCACUAUGGCAUUCACCUGGGCUGGAUCUACAUCAUGCCUUUAGAUGAUAUGAAAUAGCCCAAAAAUAUCAUUGUCAUCAUCAUCAUCAGAGCAUUUUUUUAACUAGUUGGGGUUGGCUACACGAAUCCUAAUCCACAUAUCCAUACCCUCAGUAAGGCCAUAAGUCCUCAUAUCUUUUCUCACUACUGCCAAUCAUGUCCUUUUGAGUCUACUCCUUGCUCUUUUUGAGCCUUCUACUUAAACCAACUCGCACAUCCUAACAUGUAUUAUACUGUGUUUGUGCUGCAGAUAUUGUGUAUAUACCAAAAACAAUAGGAUUGUUCACUUAGUUUUGGCCUUGUAUGUAGAUAAUAUAAUUAUAAUUGGGAGUAAUGGAAAAGUCAUUGAAGAUUGUAGAAGGUGAUUGUCACCCAAAUUGAAGAGGACAGAUAUGGGACAAUUUGGCCAUAUUUUAGGAGUUAAAGUGGCUAGAAAUAAAACUAGGAGAGUGCUAUAUCUUAUCAAGCUCUUAAUAUAUUUAAGAAGUUAAUUUUUGUAACCCUAGUUGACAAAAAUUACCAAAUAUCAAAAGGAAAUGUACCAUAACCGAAAAGAAAAAUAGAUUAUAAAGAAUUUACCCUUUUGCAGAAGCGUUAAAGUGUUGGCAUAAUUUUUUUUCUCCAUGUCUUUUAUUUUCCUAAAUAUUUUUUUAAUAAUCAAAAUGCCUCUAGGCUUAUUACCUCUUUUGCCUGAGUGUUAAAUAAAAAAAAGAAAACCAUUCCUCAAUAUUCACCUGUUGGAAUAUUGAAGCCUUAAAUAGGCAUGGAUUGGGAGAGAGUGCUAUGGUGUUCUAAAUUCUUUUUCUCUCAUUACCUAUAAUUCCUCGCUCUCGCUACAAAUUUCAGAGGUACCUUGGUCACAUGGGAGCACCCAAAAGCCUUGCAAUAUCACCCUCAUAAGCUUUUGCCAAGCCUCAUCUCCUACAUGAUUUACUCAUCAAUUUCUCUAACCCAAAAUCCUUUGAAUUGCUUUCUUUUUAGAGAAUUGAACAAAGAUUGGCUUAUUUCCAACAGCUUUUUCUGUGGCUUUGUACCCAUUUUUAUGCUCUUUUGGUGGUUAAUAUAUUGGUGAUUAAGUUCCUUUCUUUCCCCUUUCCUAUUAACAUAUUAUUCAUAUAAGUAGGGGAAAAUAAUCUUAGUGUUGGGAUAUACUGCUGUAGUUUGGAGAGCCCAUUUGGAUAUUGUUUGCAUGCUAGAUUUAUAUCUGUUGACGGUAUAAUGGCAAAUGCAUGCCAUAUGUUGUGUGGGUUGCUAAUUGAUAAUGACCAACCAUAAAAUGGAGCAUUAGAAAUUGGUAAGAGUACACUUAGAUAUUUUAAGGGGACACAUCCUUGUGGUUUAUGCUGUGGCUUAAUGAUCUAAUUGUCGAAAGCUGUAUUGAUGCCAAUUUGGGAGGAGAAAUUGAUGAAUGUAUAUUUACAUCAUGAUGAGUGUUUAGGUGUGUCACGUUUCUUAUGGAGAAGUAAGAUGAAACAAUGCAUCUCACACUCUACUAGGAAGCAUAAUAUAUUGCAUUAAAUGCUUCAAGAGAGACAAUAUUCUUGAGGCACUUAGUAAAAUGGCACUAGGGCGGUUUGAAUUUUGUCUAUAGUAAUCCAUUGUGAUAAAUAAGUGGGCAAUAGCCAUUUCUAAACACACAUCAUAUAAUGGCAAGUCAAAACAUAUUAGGAAACUCCAAAGGAGACUAUGUGGAAAACAAGAAGUUAUAACUUAGAAGUCACCCCCAGAAUUAAUGUUAUUCAUAUACUAAUUAUAGGUACUCAUGUUGCCCCAUUUGAGAGGAGUGUAGCAGCCAUGGGAAUAAGAUGCAUUGAUAGGUCAUCAUGAUAUCAGCUUUAGUGGCAUAUGGAUGCCUCAGUAGCAUAUUGGAGCUUUAGUGGUCAUUCAAAGGCUUUUUAAUUAUAUGAUUUCAUGAAUAGCCUUUGUGUUUGAAGCAGCAUUUGGGGCAUAACGACUAUCCAACUCUUAGUGAUAUCACCCACCUUCAUGGCACUUUUGCCUGUGUGGCAUAUCAUGUGACUGCCCGCCUUUAUGGCAUUUUGAAUCUUUAUGACUUGAUGACACAUAUAUGGCCCUCCAGGCUUUUCUCCUGAAGAUACGUGUGGCACAAAUGGUUUCUGUGGUCUGAUGAUGAUCACAGUGAUCUAUUAGCAUCUAAGUGAUGCAAUGAUAUCUUAGAGCCUAUAGUCUGAGUGGCAUGAGCAUCUCAAUGAUGUGGGUAUCUUAGUGAUAUAGUAAUUUCUCCACUAGCCUACGUGGCCGAUGCUUUGAGCCUCAGAGGAUGAGAACAGCUCAAGCAGUCAUGAUAGGACCCUUUAUGGUUUAUUUCUGUGGUGGAAAUCCCUCAAUUGGGAUGUGAUAUUACUAAACUAUUGAGAGCUAGCAUGGCUAAGAACAUGUUAUCCACUAUCUCUAUCAAAGGGAAGUGGUAUGCUAGUCUGGCUGUCUAUGCAAUUGCGUAUCGCUCUGUAAGGUGGAUCUCUUUGUAGGAUUGUGUGGCAACUACUUGCAUCCAUGUAGAUUCACCAUUUAGUAAUGGGGGCAUGUAUGGUAUGAAGAAUUUUGGGUAUCCAACACUGUUUGUUUUUCGAUACUCAGUUUGUUUGGUGAUCUAGAAGCAUGUGCAUAAAUUCAUAAAGUGAUUGAUGAUUAUACAAUAUGUUACGACGAAUAAUGAGUAUGAUAAAGUGUUGUGGUUAAUGCCAUUGAGUGGAUGGACUGUGGAUUUAGAUUAUGGAUGUCUUGAGGAUGUACACAGCUCAAGCAGUCAUGAUAGGACUCUAUGUAAUGGAUGAAUGAUGUAUAUAUCCAAAGCUAUAUCAAAACAGUGAAAGACUAUUGGGUGUGGGUAAUUUUUCUCCAUAACUUUGGCUUGAAAAGGAAACCUUUUCUUCCUACCAAGAUUAUCCGUAAAUUUGCUUGGCUCUCCUUUUGAAAAGUAUUAUAAAACCUUCCACACAAACAAGGUGCUUUAUAAAGGAGAAGGUGCUUUAUAAAGGAGGAUGGGCUGGUGGAGGGAGCUAUGGUACCCUUGUGUCCCUCUCCCUCUCCCUCUCACUCUCCCUUGUUCUCCUCUCAUUAAAUCAGAGAUAAACUUAGCCCAAAGAUGUGCACGCAAACCUGCAAGUGACACCUUGAUACAAGUACUGUAGAGCCAUUGCAUCACACUCUCUUCCUUCAAAUUUUCCUCUCAUUACUUUGGUUGUAUAGCGCUGUGAAUUGCAGUGAGAACAAGCAUCACUCUCUCUUCCUUCAAAUUUUCUUCAAAUUUUCCUCUCAUUACUUUGGUUCUAUAGCGCUGUGAAUUGCAGUGAGAACAAGCAAAGCAUCAAAAUUGUGGGGUGUUCAUUACAACUCUUCCUACGUUUUCAAGUUUGAGUUGUUGCACAACUGAUUUGGUGAUCACAUGCUACACUUUCUACUUGUCAUUAGUUAAUAAUUGAGAAGGCGCUAAGGUCUAGGUGGUAGCGCAUGCUGUGGGUUUUCAUUCCCACCACUAACACUGCCUCAUUAACAAUUUGAAAGAAAGUUAACUCCUAAUGUACUUGAAAAAAUGGGCAGGGGUCUGUCUUCCCCACUGAAUUACCACAUUUUUUUUUUCUUUAAUAAUUUGUCCUCAGAAAUAAAAUAAGAUAAGGACUUAGUACAUUGGAACAUAUAUGUAUAGCAUUGGGGAGUCCUUUACAUCCUUGUAUGAUUGCUCGACUUAAUGCUCUUGUGAACUAAUCAGUCCAUGCAUAAUAGUAGUUUGAUUUGAAAAAAAAAAAAGUUGUAAGGUAUGUCAUUGCGGAACGCGUUCAGCAGUCAUAUCUUAAUCAAUUCAACAUCAGGGAGGCAAUUGUAUCGAUUAGAUGAGCGAUACAGGUGAAAUCAAGAAGGCAUUAUUUUCAGUCUCUGUUAUUUCUACAAUCUUUCCUUAAUUUUCAACGGUGUGCGAAUUUCAAUACCACGAUUGAAACUUGGGUAAUUAUUGUUAAAUCUUGCCAAAUAUAAACUAAUAAAUAUGCUUCUUCAAUCAAUGUGGUAGAAGUGUAGAAUUCAUCAUAUACAAUCAAAUUGAUUCAAGGUUUGUUGCCCCCCGUUACAUUCGAUAUGUGAAGUGCAAGAAGAAAAGACGUGUAAUAUAUGGUAGACUACAAAUCUAAUGUUAUUUCCCUUCAUUUAAUUAGCAGAAGAUGUAGUGAGUUUUGAUAUUUGAAAAUCACAAGCUACACCUUCAUCAUAAUUUUUUUAUUCCAUCUGAAAAUAAGUGCACAAAUUAAAAUAAGUGCACUCGGUCCUACACCCACGUCUUCAUCGUCAAUCUCGAACCAACAAGGUAUUGGAGUUUUGGAACAAUGAUACGAAACGAUGCAACAUUGAGCUGUACAUGUUUAAUCAUUCUGAAUUACAAUAAAGGUCAAUUUCUUGUUAGUUUACAAGUGGAUCUUUGGCGCUUAUUUAGCUUAUAGACUUCAUAUGAUCAACCAACAGUAGAAAAAGAGCUCAAUUCGAAAAUGCAUAUAAAUAAUGAGAAUUAUUUAUACACCCAUUUACAGAUCCAGGUGAUCCAUUGGUUCCAACAAUGUAGCCGCC